rnacentral:rRNA from 1 species
GAAGAUGACGAGUGGCGGACGGGUGAGUAAUACUUAGGAAUAUGCCUUUGUGUGGGGGAUAACCAUUGGAAACGAUGGCUAAUACCGCAUAACGUCUUCGGACCAAAGGGGGCCUUGGCUCCCGCGCAAAGAGUAGCCUAAGCGAGAUUAGCUUGUUGGUGAG